rnacentral:rRNA from 1 species
AUUGAACGCUGGCGGCAGGCCUAACACAUGCAAGUCGAACGGUAACAGGAAGAAGCUUGCUUCUUUGCUGACGAGUGGCGGACGGGUGAGUAAUGUCUGGGAAACUGCCUGCUGGAGGGGGAUAACUACUGGAAACGGUAGCUAAUACCGCAUAACGUCGCAAGACCAAAGAGGGGGACCUUCGGGCCUCUUGCCAUCGGAUGUGCCCAGAUGGGAUUAGAUAGUAGGUGGGGUAACGGCUCACCUAGGCGACGAUCCCUAGCUGGUCUGAGAGGAUGACCAGCCACACUGGAACUGAGACACGGUCCAGACGCCUAAGGGAGGCAGCAGUGGGGAAUAUUGGACAAUGGGCGCAAGCCUGAUGCAGCCAUGCCGCGUGUAUGAAGAAGGCCUUCGGGUUGGAAAGUACUUUCAGCGGGGAGGAAGGGAGUAAAGUUAAUACCUUGGCUCAUUGACGUUACCCGCAGAAGAAGCACCGGCUAACUCCGUG